CAGCUAUUUGUCCAGGCUUUCAGUAUGGAAUAGUUUUCCAUUAUUCUCUAACAGUAGAUCCAUUAUUACAGCUAGAGUAAACCAUAAAAUGUCCAAAAACAUCACCGGAACUGUCAGGGUAUCCCAGAAGAUCUUUUCCAUCAUAGUUUUGCACACACAUGUUAUGUGAUUAUGUGAUAAGAAGGCUUAUACAUUAUGAAAGGCAGUUUUAAAUUUUUUUUUAAUACAUCUGUUUUACCUCAUGCUGCCUUUUUGUUCUGUCUUUGAAAUUCUGUUCAGUAAUAUUCUUUUUUUUUUUUUUCCUUUGCUUUGGCAGGGACGGAAAAAGCAACAGGGCUACACAUCUCGGCUGCCUUCACACGAGGUCAGAGUUCAAGCCGUACUCCUGUUACCGUAUGUGUCACUGCUUUUAUUCAUUACUGUGUGGGCAGAAACCACCACGUUUAUAUCGCAUUAGUCAGAAGAGCUAACGAAGUGAUGCUGUGCUGGGAUGCAAAGUUCGUUUAGGCAGCUAAUGCUCAGGGCACAUGCCUCCAGCCCCAUGGCUUUAAGCAGGAGCUGAAAGGCCUUGGUGAGCUCCACAGCUGCUGUGCUUUUGGCCAAAUCACGCUUCUCUUCAGGGCCUUUAAAGGGGCACAAAAGAUCAGAUCGCCUGCCUGCUGGAGGGACUCACUCAGAGACUUGUUGAUCAGGCCUGCUGUGGAUUGCUGCACUGCAUGGAUGUUAUCUUUGAAUGUUAAGCUUCAAGUUAAGAUAACCCCUGUUUCAUACACUGGGGAGGGUGUGCUACAGCCCAUGGAAAAAUGCUGCAGGAAAGCAGACACCCUGCAAGUGUUCAGCUCCAACUGGAGCAUCACUAGCCCUAGUACAUGUAAGGCUGAGUCCAGCUGGGCACAUACAAGAAAAGAAGAGCAGAAAAUAAGGCAGAAAACUCCAAUUGCUUUAUGCUGCCCUUAUUCUACCAUGCCAAUCUUCAUGUGUGUGCCCAGCACUCAGGGAAAACCUGCAUGCCCUUCGUAGCUUUGCAUGGGAGAAGGAAAUAAGGGAUUGUUAGCCUGCAUGUUGCAUGGUUAAAAAACAGCAUAAAAUAGCAGCUGUUUGUGAUAUCUGCUAGGGGCUAUGCACGUAGGUGUUAUUCUUGGGUGGGUUUAAAGCUGUGAGUCCUGACUCCUGUGAAAAGUGCCCUGUGUGGUCUGUGCAGCCCGGGGCCAACACGAAGCAAAUCAGCAAGGUGCGCAGCACCGCAACGAUGCUGGGCAAGCAGAAGGUGCUUGUGAAAGCAACAGGGUGAGAAAUUGUUCCCUGCUCUAAUAACUACAGGAUAUUAAGAGGAGUAGGUUCACAGGGGUGUGGGCUACUUCUCAGAUUCUGGAGAAAUUUUCCAGAAGUGUAAAAUGAUAAUUCCAUGAGGAAAAGGUGGUUAACAAAUUUUCCCUGUUAAUUCAAAUGCACAAAAGUUAAUUGCAGUUUGGCAGCCUGAGAUAUACAAAUUAGAGUUUAAUUCGGCUAAUCCUCAUUUUAAGUUGCAGGGUAUUGAAUACAAAUAUGAUCGUCUUGUGAAGGGACAAAUCCUGCCUCCGCUGAAGCCAGCGGGAGCCUUGCCAUGAACUUGAGAAGGGGCUGGAUUCAGCCCCUGGGUGAGCUCUGCGUGUAGGACUGAACUGGCCCAGAUGACAGGGAACCUGUGGGAUUUUUCCCUCAGCAUACGGGCCCAGAAUUACUCAGCUCCUCAAACCCUGCCAAACUUCCCCAGCCCUGCUGUGCUUCCCGAUUUGUACAGCUGGUUUUGGCUACCCAGGCACCCUGUGGGAGAAGCUGGGUUUUCUGCCCUUCUCCAUUCCCCUCUUCACUGUCUGACCAAUUAAAUAGAUAAUGCCGAAAGUUCCUCGAUUCAUGGGCUGUAACACAAACUGGGCUGUCUCCUAGAGGAAUCGUUUUUCCCAUUCAGCCCACAGCAGUCUGCCUGCUUUCCCAAACUCGCUGCAUGCUGUUGCCUCCACACGUUGUCUCACACGUCUGA
rnacentral:lncRNA from 1 species